GCUGCCCGAGCUGUCUUUGCUUUCCCCUUCUGACAUGGCCCCUCAGAGGGAACAGGCCUCAGCUGGGAGAUGCAAGAGUGAAGGGUUGUGAACGUCUGGGAGUUUUUCCUUCUUCCCCUCCCCUUUCCUGGUUCCCACUCACAUCCACCUCUUCUUUCCCCUACUCUUUUCCUUAUCUUCUGCGUCUCCUCGGAGGCCUACCUGGAUCAAACUAAGAUGUCGAGCCUAGGAUCCACACAGGAGUUGGACAGACGCUCCUUGGGCUGGCAUCAGGAAACAGGCUUUCUUGAUCAUGGAUGGUGAAGAUAUACCGGAUUUUUCAAGUUUAAAGGAAGAAACUGCUUAUUGGAAGGAACUUUCCUUGAAGUAUAAGCAAAGCUUCCAGGAAGCUCGGGAUGAGCUAGUUGAAUUCCAGGAAGGAAGCAGAGAAUUAGAAGCAGAAUUGGAGGCACAGUUAGUACAGGCUGAACAAAGAAAUAGAGACCUGCAGGCUGAUAACCAAAGACUGAAAUACGAAGUGGAGGCGUUAAAGGAGAAACUAGAGCAUCAGUAUGCACAGAGCUAUAAGCAGGUCUCAGUGUUAGAAGAUGAUUUAAGUCAGACCCGGGCCAUUAAGGAGCAACUGCAUAAGUAUGUGAGAGAGCUGGAGCAGGCCAAUGAUGACCUGGAGCGAGCAAAACGGGCAACAAUAGUUUCACUGGAAGACUUUGAACAAAGGCUAAAUCAGGCCAUUGAACGAAAUGCAUUUUUAGAAAGUGAACUUGAUGAAAAGGAAUCUU
rnacentral:lncRNA from 1 species